rnacentral:rRNA from 1 species
UACGAGUGGUCCAAGCGUUAGUCGGAAUCACUGGGCUUAAAGGGUGCGUAGGCGGGCCAGAAAGCGUCUUGUGAAAUCCCCCGGCUCAACCGGGGAACAGCAGGGCGAACUACUGGUCUUGAGGAAGGUAGAGGCCGGCAGAACGAUCGGUGGAGCGGUGGAAUGCGUAGAGAUCGAUCGGAAUGCCAAAGGUGAAGACAGCCGGCUGGGCCUUACCUGACGCUGAGGCACGAAAGCGUGGGGAGCAAACAGG